AGGGUUUUACUUUCUUAAGUGUCUUUGAUAUCCCUUAUGUUAGAUAUCAUUUAAUUCAUAUAUUAUUACUAUUUGAUUUAUGUUAUGUAUUUUAGGUUAGUUCGUUAGUGUUCAUUAUUUAAAACCUUCAGUUUCAUAGAAUAAACCUCCAAUUGUGUACCUUUUGAAGUAUCGCCCUAUCCCAUAACAAUGUGACAAGAACUAUUGGAGCUUUAUUCUGGUUCAAGAGCAGAAUCUACACAUUUCUUAAAGCAUAUUAGGGCAUACAAUAGUACAUUUUCAUUUUCAUUUACAUUGCUGUGAGUCAAUCUUUUGAUCCUACGUUUCCGCAACGGUGGCAAGGAAUCGACACUUUUCGAGCGGAAUGGCAUAUUUAUCAUUACAUUGAUAGCCUUCUUCCCUCCGCUCAAGGUAGUUAAGGGCUUUGUGGAGCUGUUUGGGUUAAAUUUGUAGUUGUACAUUGUUUGUAAAAUGCAAUUCAGUUGUUAGUUUUGGUGUUGAACUUGACACCACUGCCAAAAAAAUUCUCUUUUGGCUUAGUUACUUUAAAUAUCUGGUUCCUAACUCCAUCAUAUUGUGGCCUAUAAAAAAAACUCCAUCGUAUUGUGUGGGAAUUUUGUGUUUUCUAAGGCUGUUGGUAAGGUGUUGCCUGCAUUAAAUGGAAAAUUAACUCGAAUGGCUUUUCGUGUUCCAACCGUCGAUGUCUCAUUGGUUGACCUCACCGUGAGACUGGAGAAGAAGUAAGGAUGCGACGAAAUCAAACCCGCUAUAAAGUAAGGAUUGGUAGAGAGAAUGACUUUAUGUAUGUUGUAGAGCUACCUCCUUGUUUGUUAUAUUUUCGGACAGUUAGUUUUUCUGAGUACUAAUCCUUUGUCUCUUUCAAUGGAUUUUUCGGUUCAUGUUUAUCUUUCUCGGGUGGUUAUCAGAGAAGAGUCGGAAGGGAAUCCUGGGAUGCACCGAAGAUGAUGUGGUCUCGACUGACGAUGAAGGAGACAGCGGUAGGUUACAUCAGUUCAUGUUGUCUUUCUCGAAAGCAAAAUCAUUGGCCCUUGCUACGAUAAUUGAUGGGCACUUUCCUAAUUUUUUCCCCAAAAAAGUACCAAUGAGUUUAAAAUGCUUGUUUUUUUUUUUUUUUUUGAUAGGCAGUUUGAAAUGUUUGUUGAUGAGAUGCCAGAAAUACAAUCUUCUAAUUAGCGAAGUGAUUUACUUUGUGUAGGUUGUUGCUCUGUAGAAAAGGGCCUAUAUACCAUUUAUUGUUGAGUUUACUGGUCAAGCAUCUUGGAUGCCAAGGUUGGCAUUGCUAUGAAUGGAUACUUUGUCAAACUGGUGUCCUGAUACGACAAUGAAUGGGGUUACAGCUCCCGUGUUGUUGACUUGAUUGUACACAUGGAAAAUACCAAGUAACAUCGAUAAAAACCAGCACUAUUAAGCACAUGCUUUUGUUGUUCAGCUUGAGGAGAAACAUGAUUCGGAAUAAAAUUUACUAGGGGACAUCACACCCUGGACUCUAUGUUGUGUGA